CAGCAGCCGCGGUAAUACGAAGGGUGCAAGCGUUAAUCGGAAUUACUGGGCGUAAAGCGUGCGUAGGCGGUGAGUUAAGUCUGCUGUGAAAUCCCCGGGCUCAACCUGGGAAUGGCAGUGGAUACUGGCUCGCUAGAGUGUGUCAGAGGAUGGUGGAAUUCCCGGUGUAGCGGUGAAAUGCGUAGAGAUCGGGAGGAACAUCAGUGGCGAAGGCGGCCAUCUGGGACAACACUGAUGCUGAGGCACGAAAGCGUGGGGAGCAAACAGGAUUAGAUACCCGUGUAGUCCCUGUCUCUUAUAC
rnacentral:rRNA from 1 species